UGCAAAGGUAGCAUAAUCACUAGUUUUUUAAUUGGAAGCUUGAAUGAAAGGUUGGAUGAGGAAACUACUGUCUCAAUUAAAGUUUUUUAGAAUUUUAUUAUUUUGUAAAAAGGCUAAAAUUAUUAUAAAAGACGAGAAGACCCUAUAGAGUUUUAUAAUUUAAAUAGAAAGAGUAAUUAGAAUAGAUUUCUUUAUUUGUUUAAAUUAUUUGGUUGGGGUGAUUGAAAAAUUUAAUUAACUUUUUUUGAAAGAUUACAUAGAUUUAUGGAUAUUUGAUCCUUAUUAAAGAUUAAAAGAAAAAAUUACCUUAGGGAUAACAGCGUUAUUUUUCUUGAGAGUUCUUAUCGAAAGAAGAGUUUGCGACCUCGAUGUUGGAUUAAAAUUUAGGUUUGGUGGAGAAGCUAAACUUUUAGGUCUGUUCGACCUUUAAAAUUUU
rnacentral:rRNA from 1 species